rnacentral:rRNA from 1 species
AUACGGAGGGUGCAAGCGUUAAUCGGAAUUACUGGGCGUAAAGCGUGCGUAGGCGGUUUAUUAAGUCAGAUGUGAAAGCCCCGGGCUUAACCUGGGAACUGCAUUUGAUACUGGUAGACUAGAGUAUGGUAGAGGGGGGUAGAAUUCCUAGUGUAGCGGUGAAAUGCGUAGAUAUUAGGAGGAAUACCAGUGGCGAAGGCGGCCCCCUGGACCAAUACUGACGCUGAGGUACGAAAGCGUGGGGAGCGAACAGAAUUAGAAACCCCAGUAGUCC